rnacentral:rRNA from 1 species
UCGAACGAUGGUAGCAAUAUCAUAUGUGGCGCACGGGUGAGUAACACGUAGCUAAUCUGCCCUCGAGUGCGGGAUAACGUUCCGAAAGGAAUGCUAAUACCGCAUAAGCUCACGCGAAGUAGAAGCGAGUGAGAAAAGGCGUAAGUCGCUUGAGGAGGAGGCUGCGGCCCAUCAGGUAGUUGGCGAGGUAAUGGCUCACCAAGCCUACGACGGGUAGGGGGUCUGAGAGGAUGAUCCCCCACACUGGGACUGAGACACGGCCCAGACUCCUACGGGAGGCAGCAGUGAGGGAUAUUGGUCAAUGGGCGAAAGCCUGAACCAGCGACGCCGCGUGGGUGAAGAAGGCCUUCGGGUCGUAAAGCCCUUUUGGGGGUGACGAGAACAAGGACGGUAGCCCCAGAAUAAGUCUCGGCUAACUACGUGCCAGCAGCCGCGGUAAAACGUAGGAGGCAAGCGUUAUCCGGAGUUACUGGGCGUAAAGCGCG